CACGUAGGGCGCAAGCGUUGUCCGGAAUUAUUGGGCGUAAAGAGCUCGUAGGCGGUUUGGUAAGUCUGGUGUGAAAUCUCCACGCUCAACGUGGAGGGGCCACCCGAUACUGCCAUGACUGGAGUCCGGUAGAGGAGUGUGGAAUUCCCGGUGUAGCGGUGAAAUGCGCAGAUAUCGGGAGGAACACCCGUAGCGAAGGCGGCACUCUGGGCCGGAACUGACGCUGAGGAGCGAAAGCGUGGGGAGCAAGCAGG
rnacentral:rRNA from 1 species